rnacentral:lncRNA from 1 species
CAGGUACUUAGACAAUAAUGCAUAUAUAUUGAAUCACAAUUAUUAUUUUGUUUCUUCGGGACUCAAAAAUCUAUCACAGUUUGAAUCUAUAGGGUACAAAUAGAAUUUAGAGCAAAAUAGUUUGGUAUCUUGUAUAAAAUGAAGAUGAUUGCCUUAAUGUAUGAGUUGAUGGGAAGAUAUCAUCCUAUAGUAUUUUUUUUCCUUUUUCUUUUUUUUUUCUUUUCAUUUCUAGUCAAU